rnacentral:rRNA from 1 species
GUAACGGCGAGUGAAGAGGGAAGAGCCCAAGAUUGAAAGCUGGCGUCUUCGGCGUCCGCAUUGUAAUCUCAAGAAGUGUUUUCCGCUUCGGACCAAGCCUAAGUCCCUUGGAAAAGGGCAUCAUAGAGGGUGAUAAUCCCGUACAUGGCUUGGAGCGCCCGAAGCUUUGUGAUACGCUUUCUAAGAGUCGAGUUGUUUGGGAAUGCAGCUCAAAAUGGGUGGUAAAUGCCAUCUAAGGCUAAAUAUUGGGGAGAGACCGAUAGCGAACAAGUACAGUGAUGGAAAGAUGAAAAGAACUUUGAAAAGAGAGUUAAACAGUACGUGAAAUUGCCAAAAGGGAAAGGUAGGAGGUCAGAGAUGCGGCAUGGAUCAGCCUUGCUUUUGCUUGGUGUUUUCCCAAAUUGCAGGCAACGUCGGUUUUGGGCACUGGAGAAGGGUAGUAGGACGUGGGUACAAGGCUUGGAACGCCCGGAGCUUUGGGUUCGCUUUUAAGAGUGGAGUGUUUGGGAAUGCAGCUCAAAAUGGGUGGUAAUNCCAAUUAAGGCUAAAUAUUGGGGAGAGACCGAUAGCGAACAAGUACAGUGAUGGAAAGAUGAAAAGAACUUUGAAAAGAGAGUUAACAGUACGUGAAAUUGCCAAAAGGGAAGGGUAGGAGGUCAGAGAUGCGGCCUGGGAUUCAGCCUUGCUUUUGCUUGGUGUUUUUCCCAGAUUGCAGGCCAACGUCGGUUUUGGGCACUGGAGAAGGGUAGGAGGAACGUGGCACCUCUCGGGGUGUGUUAUAGCCUCCUACUGGAUACAGCGACCGAGACCGAGGACAGCAGCGUACUCGCAAGAGCGGGCCUUCGGGCACCUAUACGCUUAGGGCGUUGGCAUAAUGGCCCUCUACCACCCGUCUUGAAACACGGACC